CAGCAGCCACGGUAAUACAGAGGGUGCGAACGUUGCUCGGAAUUACUGGGCGCAAAGCGCGUGUAGGCGGGUCGGCAAGUCAGGCGUGAAAUCCCCAGGCUCAACCUGGGAACUGCGCUUGAAUCUGCCGGUCUUGAGUAUCGGAGAGGGUGGCGGAAUUCCUGGUGUAGAGGUGAAAUUCGUAGAUAUCAGGAGGAACACCGGUGGCGAAGGCGGCCACCUGGACGAUAACUGACGCUGAGACGCGAAAGCGUGGGGAGCAAACAGGAUUAGAUACCCGGGUAGUCCCUGUCUCUUAUAC
rnacentral:rRNA from 1 species